AAAGGGAUUUUUGCUGCUGUAAUGGAAGGCGCCAAUAAGCAAAUAAUCCUCACUGGGGGAUGCUUAAUUGGCUUGUUAGCAGCUGGAGGGCUAAUCUAUUAUAUCGUAAUAAGGCGAUAUUUCAAGAAAGAACCUAAAACUACAAAAGAUGGAUUAAAGGAAGCAGAGGAAGGUGAAGCAAAAUAGCUCACCAAAG